rnacentral:rRNA from 1 species
UACGAAGGGGGCUAGCGUUGCUCGGAAUUACUGGGCGUAAAGGGAGCGUAGGCGGACAUUUAAGUCAGAGGUGAAAUCCCGGAGCUUAACUUCGGAACUGCCUUUGAUACUGGGUGUCUUGAGUGUGAGAGAGGUAUGUGGAACUCCGAGUGUAGAGGUGAAAUUCGUAAGAUAUUCGGAAGAAACACCAGUGGCGAAGGCGACAUACUGGCUCAUUACUGACGCUGGAGGCUCGAAAGCGUGGGGAGCAAACAGG